rnacentral:rRNA from 1 species
UACGAGGGGGGCGAGCGUUGUUCGGAAUUAUUGGGCGUAAAGGGUGCGUAGGCGGCCUGACAAGUCUGAUGUGAAAUCCCUGGGCUCAACCCAGGGCCUGCAUCGGAAACUGUCGGGCUUGAGUAUGGGAGAGGUGAGUGGAAUUUCCGGUGUAGCGGUGAAAUGCGUAGAUAUCGGAAGGAACACCUGUGGCGAAAGCGGCUCACUGGACCAUUACUGACGCUGAGGCACGAAAGCUGGGGGAGCAAACAGG